rnacentral:misc_RNA from 1 species
UUACUGAGUGGCUGUAUUCGUGCUUCUCUUCGGAGACGCGAAGCUACCCGACCUGAUGUCAUUUUAUCCGAGGGCGCGCCCGCUUGAGAAGACAGCGGUUUGACGUUGUGGUGUUACCCGGACGAGGCGCUUGUCUCGUAAGGGGAAGCUUCCGGGUCGGGCCGUGGCGCGUUCCUUGGCACAACUUUCCGCGGAAGUGGUAGGCGUUGACUUGCCCGCCGCGGGCCAUACUUUUCACAACUCUCGAAGAAAACCUGAAGUCUGAAUACCAAAACAAAAACGAAAAGCAAAACUUUCAACAACGGAUCUCUUGGCUCUGGCAACGAUGAAGAACGCAGCGAAACGCGAAAGGUAAUGCGAAUUGCAGAAUCAGUGAGUCAUCGAAUCUUUGAACGCACAUUGCGCCUCUCGGUAUUCCGGGAGGCACGCCUGUUCGAGCGCCAUUACAAACUCCAAGCGUGGCUUGAUGUUGGGCGAUGUCUUUUUGCGAGAGCGGGAGACACGCCUGGAACGCGUUGGCGCCGCCGCCGGACCACGAGCGUAGCAAGACGAGAGUCAAUCGCAUCGAUUUGGUUUCCGACGGAGGUCCGCCUUGUGACUGCACUUUCGAGUGUAGUUGAAAAACUUCUCAAGUUUGGCCUCGGAUCAGGCGGGGAUACCCGCUGAACUUAAGCAUAUCAAUAA